AACGCUGGCGGCGUGCCUAAUACAUGCAAGUCGAGCGAGCAGAACCAGCAGAUUUACUUCGGUAAUGACGCUGGGGACGCGAGCGGCGGAUGGGUGAGUAACACGUGGGGAACCUGCCCCAUAGUCUGGGAUACCACUUGGAAACAGGUGCUAAUACCGGAUAAUAAAGCAGAUCGCAUGAUCAGCUUAUAAAAGGCGGCGUAAGCUGUCGCUAUGGGAUGGCCCCGCGGUGCAUUAGCUAGUUGGUAAGGUAACGGCUUACCAAGGCAAUGAUGCAUAGCCGAGUUGAGAGACUGAACGGCCACAUUGGGACUGAGACACGGCCCAAACUCCUACGGGAGGCAGCAGUAGGGAAUCUUCCACAAUGGACGCAAGUCUGAUGGAGCAACGCCGCGUGAGUGAAGAAGGUUUUCGGAUCGUAAAGCUCUGUUGUUGGUGAAGAAGGAUAGAGGUAGUAACUGGCCUUUAUUUGACGGUAAUCAACCAGAAAGUCACGGCUAACUACGUGCCAGCAGCCGCGGUAAUACGUAGGUGGCAAGCGUUGUCCGGAUUUAUUGGGCGUAAAGCGAGCGCAGGCGGAAGAAUAAGUCUGAUGUGAAAGCCCUCGGCUUAACCGAGGAAUUGCAUCGGAAACUGUUUUUCUUGAGUGCAGAAGAGGAGAGUGGAACUCCAUGUGUAGCGGUGGAAUGCGUAGAUAUAUGGAAGAACACCAGUGGCGAAGGCGGCUCUCUGGUCUGCAACUGACGCUGAGGCUCGAAAGCAUGGGUAGCGAACAGGAUUAGAUACCCUGGUAGUCCAUGCCGUAAACGAUGAGUGCUAAGUGUUGGGAGGUUUCCGCCUCUCAGUGCUGCAGCUAACGCAUUAAGCACUCCGCCUGGGGAGUACGACCGCAAGGUUGAAACUCAAAGGAAUUGACGGGGGCCCGCACAAGCGGUGGAGCAUGUGGUUUAAUUCGAAGCAACGCGAAGAACCUUACCAGGUCUUGACAUCUAGUGCCAUCCUAAGAGAUUAGGAGUUCCCUUCGGGGACGCUAAGACAGGUGGUGCAUGGCUGUCGUCAGCUCGUGUCGUGAGAUGUUGGGUUAAGUCCCGCAACGAGCGCAACCCUUAUUAUUAGUUGCCAGCAUUAAGUUGGGCACUCUAAUGAGACUGCCGGUGACAAACCGGAGGAAGGUGGGGAUGACGUCAAGUCAUCAUGCCCCUUAUGACCUGGGCUACACACGUGCUACAAUGGGCAGUACAACGAGAAGCGAGCCUGCGAAGGCAAGCGAAUCUCUGAAAGCUGUUCUCAGUUCGGACUGCAGUCUGCAACUCGACUGCACGAAGCUGGAAUCGCUAGUAAUCGCGGAUCAGAACGCCGCGGUGAAUACGUUCCCGGGCCUUGUACACACCGCCCGUCACACCAUGGAAGUCUGCAAUGCCCAAAGCCGGUGGCCUAACCUUCGGGAAGGAACCGUCUAAGGCAGGGCAAGAUGAC
rnacentral:rRNA from 1 species